rnacentral:rRNA from 1 species
GACGUAGGGCGCGAGCGUGUCCGGAUUUAUUGGGCGUAAAGAGCUCGUAGGCGGUUUGUUACGUCGACUGUGAAAACCCGCGGCUCAACUGCGGGCCUGCAGUCGAUACGGGCAGGCUAGAGUUCGGUAGGGGAGACGUGGAAUUCCUGGUGUAGCGGUGAAAUGACGCAGAUAUCAGGAGGAACACCGGUGGCGAAGGCGGGUCUCUGGGCCGAUACUGACGCUGAGGAGCGAAAGCGUGGGGAGCGAACAGG